rnacentral:rRNA from 1 species
GGGGAAUAUUGGACAAUGGGCGCAAGCCUGAUCCAGCCAUGCCGCGUGUGUGAAGAAGGCCUUUUGGUUGUAAAGCACUUUAAGCGAGGAGGAGGCUACUUGGAUUAAUACUCUAGGAUAGUGGACGUUACUCGCAGAAUAAGCACCGGCUAACUCUGUGCCAGCAGCCGCGGUAAUACAGAGGGUGCGAGCGUUAAUCGGAUUUACUGGGCGUAAAGCGUGCGUAGGCGGCUUUUUAAGUCGGAUGUGAAAUCCCUGAGCUUAACUUAGGAAUUGCAUUCGAUACUGGGAAGCUAGAGUAUGGGAGAGGAUGGUAGAAUUCCAGGUGUAGCGGUGAAAUGCGUAGAGAUCUGGAGGAAUACCGAUGGCGAAGGCAGCCAUCUGGCCUAAUACUGACGCUGAGGUACGAAAGCAUGGGGAGCAAACAGGAUUAGAUACCCUGGUAGUCCAUGCCGUAAACGAUGUCUACUAGCCGUUGGGGCCUUUGAGGCUUUAGUGGCGCAGCUAACGCGAUAAGUAGACCGCCUGGGGAGUACGGUCGCAAGACUAAAACUCAAAUGAAUUGACGGGGGCCCGCACAAGCGGUGGAGCAUGUGGUUUAAUUCGAUGCAACGCGAAGAACCUUACCUGGUCUUGACAUAGUAAGAACUUUCCAGAGAUGGAUUGGUGCCUUCGGGAACUUACAUACAGGUGCUGCAUGGCUGUCGUCAGCUCGUGUCGUGAGAUGUUGGGUUAAGUC